CCGGUUUCAAGUGUAAGAACAUAGUUUGGAAUAUUGGAUGGUAAGAAGAAAAGCCGUUUGAGAAAGUAACGUUGAAGUUUUUCUACUUCUUCGUGUGACUGAUAUCCCCAUGUUUGACAACCGUAGCACAUAACGGAACACAUUACAGCAUAAAAUACCUUGUACUUGGCUGAGACGGCAACACUUUUUCAUUGUUUUUCUUGGUGGCUGCCGGAUGGCAGAGUUGAUGACAUCCCUGGAGUGACAGCUGCUGUUGACGUUGACAUGAAGUUUGUUGAUCGUGAAUUUUCGUUUGACGAGUUGACUUGAGUAUUCAAAAGAUUUGAUUUAUUUUUGUUUUUAUACUCAUCAAGAUGUAAUUCUCCAAAUAUCUCUCUCAGUACCUCCAUCCCAUCUCGAUUGUCACAAUAAAGUUUUCCAUCAUGUGCGCA